rnacentral:rRNA from 1 species
UACGUAGGGUGCAAGCGUUAAUCGGAAUUACUGGGCGUAAAGCGUGCGCAGGCGGUUUUGUAAGUCUGACGUGAAAGCCCCGGGCUUAACCUGGGAAUUGCGUUGGAGACUGCAAGGCUUGAAUCUGGCAGAGGGGGGGUAGAAUUCCACGUGUAGCAGUGAAAUGCGUAGAGAUGUGGAGGAACACCGAUGGCGAAGGCAGCCCCCCUGGGCUAGCACUGACGCUCAGGCACGAAAGCGUGGGGAGCAAACAGG